rnacentral:rRNA from 1 species
UACAGAGGUCCCAAGCGUUGUUCGGAUUCAUUGGGCGUAAAGGGUGCGUAGGCGGUGGGGUAAGUUGGAUGUGAAAUCUUGGGGCUUAACCCAGGAACUGCGUCCAAGACUGGGAGGCUUGAAUCCGGGAGAGGGAUGCGGAAUUCCAGGUGGUAGCGGUGAAAUGCGUAGAUAUCGGGAGGAACACCUGUGGCGAAAGCGGCGCACUGGACCAUAACUGACGCUGAGGCGCGAAAGCUAGGGGAGCAAACAGG